GCCACCCCACAGCUUCUCCUUGAGAAACAAGGACGAGCCAAGCCCUGCGUGUCCGGGGUCCGCGGGACAGCUCCGUCCCCAGGAAUCCCCGAGACAGAUCCGAGAGUCCCCGGGGCUGGCUCUGUCCCCAAGAGUCCCCAGGGGUGGCUCUGUCCCCCAGGGCACCCCGGGGGCAGCUCCGUGCCCACCUCGCGCUGCCAGCACGAGGAUUUGCCGGCUUGGAAUGGCUCAUGGAUGGAUUAGCAAAGCCUGGGAUGGAGCAGCGCCUCCCCCGGGAGCGAGAGCGGGAUGUGCCGGAUGCCGCCGAGCGGGUGGCGAUGGCAGCAGGUGACCCCGGGCGGCGCGGGGGUGGCACGGCCGCCAGGCACGAGCCAUGCGGGGCCCGGUGGCCGGAGCCUUACUUGCAUGUAGAGCUGGGCCCUAGGGGAGGAGGUCUCCACCAU